rnacentral:tRNA from 1 species
UCCCUGGUGGCUCAGAUGGUAAAGAACCUGCUUACAAUGCAGGAGACCCAGGUUCGAAUCUUGGGUUGGGAA